rnacentral:rRNA from 1 species
UACGUAGGGUGCAAGCGUUGUCCGGAAUUAUUGGGCGUAAAGAGCUCGUAGGCGGUCUGUCGCGUCUGCUGUGAAAGCUCGGGGCUUAACCCCGGGCCUGCAGUGGGUACGGGCAGACUAGAGUGCGGUAGGGGAGACUGGAAUUCCUGGUGUAGCGGUGAAAUGCGCAGAUAUCAGGAGGAACACCGGUGGCGAAGGCGGGUCUCUGGGCCGUAACUGACGCUGAGGAGCGAAAGCGUGGGGAGCGAACAGG